CCUACGGGGUGCAGCAGUGGGGAAUAUUGCACAAUGGGCGAAAGCCUGAUGCAGCAACGCCGCGUGAAGGAAGAAGGCCUUCGGGUCGUAAACUUCUGUCCUUGGGGAAGAAGAACUGACGGUACCCAAGGAGGAAGCCCCGGCUAACUACGUGCCAGCAGCCGCGGUAAUACGUAGGGGGCAAGCGUUAUCCGGAAUUAUUGGGCGUAAAGAGUACGUAGGUGGCAACCUAAGCGCAGGGUUUAAGGCAAUGGCUCAACCAUUGUUCGCCCUGCGAACUGGGAUGCUUGAGUGCAGGAGAGGAAAGCGGAAUUCCUAGUGUAGCGGUGAAAUGCAUAGAUAUCACGCAGAACUCCGAUUGCGAAGGCAGCAUACCGGCGCUCAACUGACGCUCAUGCACGAAAGUGUGGGUAUCGAACAGGAUUAGAUACCCCAGUAGUC
rnacentral:rRNA from 1 species